rnacentral:rRNA from 1 species
CCCUUAGAUGUCCUGGGCCGCACGCGCGCUACACUGACACGUGCAACGAGUAUAACCUGGUCCGGAAGGAUGUCGGGUAAUCUUUAUAGUACGUGUCGUGCUGGGGAUAGAUCUUUGCAAUUAUGGAUCUUGAACGAGGAAUUCCUAGUAAGCAUAAGUCAUCAGCUUGUGCUGAUUACGUCCCUGCCCUUUGUACACACCGCCCGUCGCUCCUACCGAUUGAGUGGUUCGGUGAACUUUUUGGACUGCGCAGGCAUUAGUCUGUGCGGGAAGUUAAUUAAACCAUAUCACUUAGAGGAAGGAAAANUCGUAACA